GUUAUUUGAACUCUAAUUUCGUUUUCUUUUAUCUGUUUGGCCAUAUAUAUGUUUUAAAUUGGCAAAAGCUUCCAACUUGUUUUUGUUGUUUCAAAACCUAUGAAGCACGAACGUCAAUACGAACACGACACAGACACUCGGCCACCAGACACUCCGAUACUGAUAUCAUUGCAGCCAAAUUUCGGACAACCAAUUCUCGGGAAAGAUACCCAAUUUAUUCAGAACUGGACUAAUUUCAAUACGCUGUAUGCACUCUCCUUUUUUAUUUUUAAUUUUCCUCAAAUAUAAUUGUAUUUGUAUUGCUUGAAUUCAAAAGAGAAAAUUAUUCAUGGUUACUUUACUUUUGACAGAAUGAUUCAAGGGAGUGGAUUAAGUGGACCAAUUCCUUCCAAAAUUUCACUUUUGAGAAACUUAACUGACUUGUAUAUAUGAUAUUUUAUAUUCCGAUAAAGCAUGGGAUGGAGUUUAACUUUCAUUUUAAUUGUGUGACUUUUAGUGUAAAUUUGUCAAGUUCAGGAGGACAUGUUUGUCCUAGACUUAAUUACUCAUGAACCACAGUGGCCAAUAUUUUUUGAUUAUUUGACUAAUUUCCAUAAUUGAUUUAGGUAACUGUAGAUAUGGUGGAGACCUUGCAAAGUAGUUAGUAGCCUCUUUGCUCAGUGUUCUUACUAGUUGUAGGAGUGUUAGAAUACCCUUUACAGAGAAGACUCCUCAAAAAGUGGCCAAUAUUAAAGUGAAAGAACUUGGAAAUAAUCCAAAAGUUUAUAUUUGGGACGGGCAAGGACCUAACCCACAUAUGGGCCAUCUAGCUUGGGCUGAUGCAUUUGUUGUCAUAGCUGAUUCUGUUAGUAUGAUAAGUGAAGCUUGCAACACAGGAAAGCCCGUUUACGGUGUGGGGUCUGAGCGUUGUAAAUGGAAGUUUGCCGAAUUUCACAAAUCAUUGAGAGAGCGGGGAGUUGUAGCUAGUUUAUCCUUCUCUGUUUUGUAGCUAGUUUUUUGUUUCCUAUAAUGAUGAUUGUGGCUUGCUUCGUUGUCGGUCAUUUCUAGGUUUUCCGAAAGGAUGAUAGAGCCAGUCUUGAUAGGAAGGAGUUGUUUAAGAACACUUUGAGAAAAGGAGCUUAUGCAUGGAAAAAGAUUAUUGAGCUUCGUCUUACGGAAAAGGAAGCUAAUAAGCUUAGAAACUUUGUGGAUCAGCCUGCUUUUACAGAUCUUCAUUGGGUAUAAUUCUAAUUAAUUUAUGGUACUAUGGUAUACGUGAGGCAGGCAAUUGUGGCUGAUGCAUCGACUGCUUUGUCACGAGCAGUUUGCAUUGCUACUAGAUAUAGUGCUGUUUGAAGACAGUUUGGGUCUCAGAAUGGUAGUCUUGAAACACAGGAUAAAUUUGAAGGUGAAGAAUUUUGAGAACUCAACAACAAUAGAUAUAGCAGGCAGUGGUGAGAUCAAAGGUAUAUUACUAAGUGCUGGAGUCCUUGCCAUGGUUGUUGGCAAUGAUACACUCUUAGCUGGAGCAGAGAUUAUUUAAAUCGCAUGAUGGUGUAAUUUUUGCAUGGAGAGGCAGUUCUAAAUCCAAUUCCCCUUUUGAACUGGUUGCAUCACUAUGCGGACACACUAAAUCUGUUGUUUGCCUGGCUGUUGGAUGUAACAAGAUGUUGUACUCAGGAUCCAAGGAUCAAAGCAUCAAGGUUUGGGACCUAGACAAAUUUGAGUGUAAAAUGACACUCAAUGCGCAUAUAGGAGAAGUCACAUCCCUUAUUUGUUGGGACAAAUUCUUGCUAUCCGGUUCAUCAGACUGCACUAUCAAGACUUUGCUUGAGAAGAUGAAGUCGGUGUACACGAAUGUAGAAGGUCUUCCUCCGGAUCGAAUUGUGGAAAGCAAUUGCUUCUCCAGGGCGUGGUAUUUUGGCCAUGGAUGAAUCCAAUGCUACAUGUGGAAAGCGGUUGGAUUCAAUUGGACUAGAGAACACCGAAGCUAAUCGUCAAGUAUGGCGUAAAAUUAUAUAUGAAGAAAGUGUUAU